rnacentral:rRNA from 1 species
CCUGCGGGAGGCUGCAGUGGGGAAUAUUGGACAAUGGGCGAAAGCCUGAUCCAGCCAUGCCGCGUGUGUGAAGAAGGCCUUCGGGUUGUAAAGCACUUUAAGCGGGGAGGAAGGCCUUGAGACUAAUACUCUUGAGGAUUGACGUUACCCGCAGAAUAAGCACCGGCUAACUCUGUGCCAGCAGCCGCGGUAAUACAGAGGGUGCAAGCGUUAAUCGGAAUUACUGGGGGUAAUGCGCGCGUAGGGAGGUGAAAUCCCCGGGCUCAACCUGGGCACGGCAUCCGAUACUGGCUGACUAGAGUGUGGGAGAGGAAGGUAGAAUUCCAGGUGUAGCGGUGAAAUGCGUAGAGAUCUGGAGGAAUACCGAUGGCGAAGGCAGCCUUCUGGCCUAACACUGACGCUGAGGUGCGAAAGCAUGGGGAGCAAACAGGAUUAGAUACCCGUGUAGUC